UACGUAGGUGACCAGCGUUGUCCGGAUUUACUGGGCGUAAAGCGCGCGCAGGCGGUCCUUUAAGUCUGAUGUGAAAGCCCACGGCUCAACCGUGGAGGGUCAUUGGAAACUGGGGGACUUGAGUGCAGAAGAGGAAAGCGGAAUUCCACGUGUAGCGGUGAAAUGCGUAGAGAUGUGGAGGAACACCAGUGGCGAAGGCGGCUUUCUGGUCUGUAACUGACGCUGAGGCGCGAAAGCGUGGGGAUCAAACAGG
rnacentral:rRNA from 1 species